rnacentral:tRNA from 1 species
GUCUCUGUAGCGCAAUGGAUAGCGCGUUGGACUUCUAAUCCAAAGGUCGUGGGUUCGAUUCCUACCUAGGAUG